rnacentral:rRNA from 1 species
AUUGAACGCUGGCGGCAGGCCUAACACAUGCAAGUCGAACGAGUGGCGGACGGGUGAGUAAUGUCUGGGAAACUGCCCGAUGGAGGGGGAUAACUACUGGAAACGGUAGCUAAUACCGCAUACCAUCGGAUGUGCCCAGAUGGGAUUAGCUAGUAGGUGGGGUAACGGCUCACCUAGGCGACGAUCCCUAGCCGGUCCGGGAGGAUGACCAGACACACGGGAAAUGAGACAAGGUCCAGACUCCUACGUGAGGCAGAAGGGGGGAAUAUGGCACAAUGGGCGCAAGCCUGAUGCAGCCAUGCCGCGUGUAGGAAGAAGGCCUUCGGUUUGUAAAGCACUUUCAGCGGGGAGGCGUUACCCGAAGAAGAAGCACCGGCUAACUCCGUGCCAGCAGCCGCGGUAAUAC